rnacentral:rRNA from 1 species
GAUGAACGCUGACAGAAUGCCUAACACAUGCAAGUCGAUUCAAGAAACCUGCGGGUAAUGAGGAUGGCGGACGGGUGAGUAACGCGUAAGGAGCUUGCCUCUUAGACUGGGCAAACUGCUGGAAAUGACUGCUAAUACCGGAUCUUAUGAGUUUCUCGUAUGAGAAACUUAUGAAAGCUAUAUGCGCCAAGAGAGAGCCUUGCGUUCCAUUAGCUAGUUGGUGGGGUAACGGCCCACCAAGGCGACGAUGGAUAGCCGGCCUGAGAGGGUGAACGGCCACAAGGGGACUGAGACACGGCCCUUACUCCUACGGGAGGCAGCAGUGGGGAAUAUUGGACAAUGGGCCACAAGCCUGAUCCAGCAAUUCUGUGUGCACGAUGAAGGUCUUCGGAUUGUAAAGUGCUUUCAGUUGGGAAGAAGAAAGUGACGGUACCAACAGAAGAAGCGACGGCUAAAUACGUGCCAGCAGCCGCGGUAA